CCAAGCACCACUUUCUGUGCAAAAAUAAAGAUUAAGUUGGAUCCUUCACCCCUGUGUGUUUAUUGGCACAAGCGCACCGGGCACGAACUCACUGUCCUUUGGGGACAACAAUUUCUGGCGACCCAGAUGGGAUGCUAGCUGACUGCCUUGCCUGGUCCACCUCUUCGGCUCCGGCAACAACUGUGGACGGCGCGAGGGCCAGGCGCCACCGACCUUAUUUGUCAGAGGUCUGACUGUCUCCUGGUUGCCUGACGGAGUCAGGGAGGGGCACAACGGCGCAACGCUCAAAGGACCAACUUAAUCAGGUGGGGCAAGGGAGGUUUCAAUGGACUGGUAUGUCCAGAAGCAACUUCCACUCCCCUUAAAUAUACCAGUCCAUAAGUUCCAGAUCAAAAACGAGGUGCUGGUCUGGAUGUGAAAAAACGAGCCGCUUCAGCCCAGGUAAAAGGAACCAUAUCCUGUGAUUCUCACCACUCACGCUGCAGUGAAAGUUCAGGGGAUAAAACCGUGAAUACACUACACCUGGGUAAAGGCCACACCAAAAGUACCACCUGCAGGAGAAGUUGCUGAAUGUGUCGCACUGAAAGCCAACACAAACGAACACCGUUGAACAGCAGAGCCAGUAAAAAAACUUAAAUUUCUGUUUAAACGUCAACCAUGUAAACAAUAGCUCUUUGCACAGGCAUAAUGUUUCUAGGGUCUAAGGGGUUGGUGCAUCAAAGGUUCGAUAAAAGUCAAAAUGUGUGGGUUCAUUUGGCAAAAAACAUAUUAAAUGUCACUCAUUUUUGUUUAACAAGUGAAAUAUCGGUUAAUAAUAUUUUCACGUCAUGCCUUAUAGGGGUGCCCACUCCAUUGAAAGCACUCCAGAAUCAAACUUGGUUUGCAUCUGGGGAAAUAGGAGGUCCAAUCAAUUACACUAACAACUCCAUGUGGGGAACCAUUACCACAAAAAAAAAACACGCUAGCACCUUUAAAAUAGAUUUGUUAACAGUCACCUCCCCUAAUAAUACCAGCUGUGCCAAUUUUGUAAACUGUACCCAAGCUUGCAAAAGCCUAACCAAAGAAACAAAAAUUUUCAAUUGCUCAAACGUAACUAAUGUAUCUUGCAACUACGGUCAUGUUAUAUUACCCAGGGGGGUGGUUCCUCCUUUGUGGAAAAACUGCCUAUUCAUAUAUCCCAGCCAAUGCCACAGGAGGCCCUUGUGCUCUGGGCCUGUUAACUGUCUGGCUACCGGGUAUGCCUAUAACCUCUAAUAAGUGUCACCGGAGAGGUUUAAAAAAACUAAGAAUCCUGUAAUAGUAACAUAAACCUCCUAAAUAAGGCCGAGGUAGUGUCCUUAGCAGUUUCCAUAGUAGGGGUGCCAAGCCUAGUAGUGAACGCUGAGAGGCAGCUUGGUAAGGUGGCCUGUGCCCUGGCAAAGGGCCUAAAUACAACUUCACAGGCCCUAGCUGCCCUCAAUAUUGAAAUGAAAAAACUAAAAAAAGCUACUCCGCAAAACAGAGCAGCCAUAGAUUACCUGUUGCGGAGGCAUAACCACGAAUGUAAAAAGUUCAAGGGAAUGUGUUGUUUUAAUUUAACAAAUAACUCCGAGUUAAUAGAGUCAAAAGUGCAAAAGUUAAAAAAGGUUCUGUCCCACAUUAAACAAGGGGAAGGGUUCAACUUCUCAUGGCUUACUUCUUGGCUUCCUAAUUUUCCGUGGCUUAAGCAAAUUUUCCUAUUAAUUGUGGCAAAUAUAUGUAUUUUCUUGAUAAUCUGUUGUAAAAUACAGUGUGCGCCAAUGUGUUGUGAGGUACUCAAGAAAUCAAUUUCUUUCCCCGUUCACUGUGUAAUGUUUGUAAAAUUAUCAGUUACAAACCCGAUCCAAAAUAAUCAGGAGGAAGCGAAAAAAUUUCUGAAAAUGAAAAAAUAGUCGAGGACUAUGGGCUUUUUCCAUAAAGGCCAUAGCCUUGAAGGGGAGAUUUGAUGAAGCACCCCUGGACUUUCACUGUAUUUUAACCAGGGAACAGCUUUGUAUGUUUUGAAAAAGUAUUUUAUCUAACCAAGGGCAUAGAGUAGGUUGUUUAGGCUGGGAAAAAUUGCUUGUUGCGUAGUUGCUGAUUGCUGGCCUCGCUAGAAGGAAAAGCUGUAUCAACAAAGUUCCAGAGCUGAAAGGGGGGUUACUUACUGGGCUUGCUAUACAUUUCAUCACACCAGCAAGUUUAACCUGUUACGUAGCUAUAUAAGGCAGACGCCCACUGGGGUGGGUGUGCUUGCUUUGCGAACGAUUGCCAAGCACCACUUUCUGCGCAAAAAUAAAGAUUAAGUUGGAUCCUUCA